rnacentral:tmRNA from 1 species
GGGGGCGACUGGCUUCGACGGGGUAAGUGAAGCUGUUGCCGCGUGCCCAGGUCCUCGGGUCCCUGGUAAAACACUCGGGACGUUUUUAACUGCCAACAACAACUUGGCUCUCGCUGCGUAACUAAGGUUACGCCGAGUGCCCGUGGGGAAGCCCGCCCGGGGCGGCUUCGCGGGUAUCGCAAAACUGGGCUAGUGCGCCGGCGCGCUCUCUGUCGUCGCGCGAAACUCUAGAGGGCUCAUCCGUCCGACGGCGGCUCACCGGCCAGCGGGCGGAAAAAUCGAACGGUGGGCUACGCACGUAGACGCAGCGGUCGAUCUAUUCUCGGACCGGGGUUCAAUUCCCCGCGCCUCCACUG